rnacentral:rRNA from 1 species
AAUCGAGUCUUUGACGCAAGUUGCGCCCGAAGCCAUUAGGUUGAGGGCACGCCUGCCUGGGUGUCACACAUCGUCAUCCCCAUGCAAAUGUGCAUAGUAGGGGGAAAUUUGGUUUCCGGCAAGGCUUUCCUCGGGGUUGGUUCAAAAUUAAUUAAACGGCAAAUCCCCUCCCAAUAAAGGGGGAAUAAUUAAUUCUCAAAACCAAUCGGGGUUGGGGUACUUCAUGGAAUCUAAUGGGUUAACCCAAAAGGUUCUUAUGGAAACCUCAGGUCAGGCGGGGUUACCCGUUAAUUUUAACCUUAUCAUUAACCGAAGAAAAAAAAACUACCAAGGAUUCCCCUAUUAACGGCAAGCAAACCGGGAACACCCCACCAGGAAAAUCAAUGGCCUCCGGCUUUGGAUUUGUAUCCG